AUGCUUUCUGGGAGGAAGCACGAGCUGGUCAGAGAAUAUUAUUUGCAUGCUUUCUGCCAGGGAAGAAGCCGCGGCAGCAGGACUGGCUCAGUCCUGUGGUGCCCAGAUCUGCCUGAGUCCGCCGGAGUCAUGCGAGGAAGAGCUGGUGCAACAGUUGCCGGCAAGUGUGCCGGAGUUGACAGAGCACAAAAGAUCCCUGAGCCCAGAGUAGCCACCAGGCAGCCCGAGCGACAAGUCAAGAGGGCAAGCGGCGCUGGGAGUCGCCCUGGGCGAGACGGGGCGCGGGCCCCGGGACCCCAAACUCAGAGCGUUGGGGGCCAAGUGGCAGCCGCCGGAGGACGCCCACUUGCGCCCGGCCCCCGGGAGGCCGCCUGCCCGCUUCGGCGCCGGACCCUGGGCUGGCUGAGGUGCGAGGCUUCCGGCCGGCCGAGGCGGGAGGGGCAGGGCGGAGGGAGGCUGCCCGGGCGCGGCCGCCGACGUCCGCAGCUGAUUCCGGGCGUCCGGAGGAGUCCCGGGCCGCCCUCGCAGGGUCGCCGGGGCAGCGCUCUCCUCGCCCGCCGGGAGAGGGUCGCGGAUCGCCUCGGACGCCGCCCAGCGCCCCCGCGGCGCCACUCGCCGGCAGCCGGCGCGGGAGAAGCGCCUUCCGGAGGGGGCGCGCCGCUGAGCCGGGGCUCGACGGGGCUGAGCCGGGGGAGCGUCUCGGGCCGGAGAUGCUCCGCCGCCGGGCGAGGCUUGGGCCGGCCUGGCCGCUUGCGCUGCCGGGAGCCCGAGAGGGGCGACGGGGGGCAGCUGCCCGGGGAGAUGGCGGUGCGGUGGGGGCGACCCUGCGAGGUUCCCCGAAGGAUCGGCGGAGCCUCUGCCCGGCCUGCCUUGGGGACCCCGAACUGCCCGAGCCUGCCGAGCGCGGCAGAAGCCCCUGGCCGGGGCCUGGGAGCGCCAGCCGACGGGUCCCCUUCGGGGCAUUGCGGGAUCGGGGUGAGGACACGGCCGUCCGUUUUCCUCGCAAGCCGCCUGGGGAGCUGCUGGUUGGUGGAGAAGGGCCGGGCUGCCCUCGAUGGGAGCCGCUCCCUGGGUCUCUUGAGUGGCUGGCAGGGAUUGAGCUGA
ensembl:lncRNA